rnacentral:misc_RNA from 1 species
UCCGAGUUGACCCCGGCAGUCUCCCAUGAGUCCCCGGCAUUACCCGCUGGCAACUAGGAACAGGGGUUGCGCUCGUUGCGCCACUUAAGGCAACACCUCACGGCACGAGCUGACGACAGCCAUGCACCACCUGUGCGGGCCCCGUAGGGCACCGUGUUUCCACGGCUUUACCCCGCAUGUCAAGCCCAGGUAAGGUUCUUCGCGUCGCGUCGAAUUAAGCCACAUGCUCCGCCGCUUGUGCGGGCCCCCGUCAAUUCCUUUGGGUUUUAGCCUUGCGGCCGUACUCCCCAGGCGGGGUGCUUAAUGCGUUAGCUUCGGCACGGAAGGGGUCGAUGUCCCCCCACACCUAGCACCCAUCGUUUACGGCUAGGACUAC